rnacentral:rRNA from 1 species
ACGAACGCUGGCGGCGUGCCUAAUACAUGCAAGUUGAGCGCUGAAGGUUGGUACUUGUACCAACUGGAUGAGCAGCGAACGGGUGAGUAACGCGUGGGGAAUCUGCCUUUGAGCGGGGGACAACAUUUGAAAACGAAUGCUAAUACCGCAUAAAAACUUAAAACACAAGUUUUAAGUUUGAAAGAUGCAAUUGCAUCACUCAAAGAUGAUCCCGCGUUGUAUUAGCUAGUUGGUGAGGUAAAGGCUCACCAAGGCGAUGAUACAUAGCCGACCUGAGAGGGUGAUCGGCCACAUUGGGACUGAGACACGGCCCAAACUCCUACGGGAGGCAGCAGUAGGGAAUCUUCGGCAAUGGACGAAAGUCUGACCGAGCAACGCCGCGUGAGUGAAGAAGGUUUUCGGAUCGUAAAACUCUGUUGGUAGAGAAGAACGUUGGUGAGAGUGGAAAGCUCAUCAAGUGACGGUAACUACCCAGAAAGGGACGGCUAACUACGUG